GGACGCAUAGCUCAGCGGUAGAGCACUGCCUUCACACGGCAGGGGUCACAGGUUCAAUCCCUGUUGCGUCCACCA
rnacentral:tRNA from 1 species